UAGCUCCGUUGGUAGAGCAUGGUGUUUGCAACGCCAGGGUUGUGGGUUCAUUUCCCAC
rnacentral:tRNA from 1 species